rnacentral:rRNA from 1 species
UAAUACAAGAUGGCAUCAUGAGUCCGCAUGUUCACAUGAUUAAAGGUAUUCCGGUAGACGAUGGGGAUGCGUUCCAUUAGAUAGUAGGCGGGGUAACGGCCCACCUAGUCUUCGAUGGAUAGGGGUUCUGAGAGGAAGGUCCCCCACAUUGGAACUGAGACACGGUCCAAACUCCUACGGGAGGCAGCAGUGAGGAAUAUUGGUCAACGGGCGAGAGCCUGAACCAGCCAAGUAGCGUGAAGGAUGACUGCCCUAUGGGUUGUAAACUUCUUUUAUAAAGGAAUAAAGUCGGGUAUGGAUACCCGUUUGCAUGUACUUUAUGAAUAAGGAUCGGCUAACUCCGUGCCAGCAGCCGCGGUAAUACGGAGGAUCCGAGCGUUAUCCGGAUUUAUUGGGUUUAAAGGGAGCGUAGAUGGAUGUUUAAGUCAGUUGUGAAAGUUUGCGGCUCAACCGUAAAAUUGCAGUUGAUACUGGAUAUCUUGAGUGCAGUUGAGGCAGGCGGAAUUCGUGGUGUAGCGGUGAAAUGCUUAGAUAUCACGAAGAACUCCGAUUGCGAAGGCAGCCUGCUAAGCUGCAACUGACAUUGAGGCUCGAAAGUGUGGGUAUCAAACAGGAUUAGAUACC